UUUCCGGUUGAUCCUGCCUGGACCUGACUGCUAUCGGAUUGAUACUAAGCCAUGCGAGUCAUUGUAGUAAUACAAGGCAGACGGCUCAGUAACGCGUAGUCAAUCUACCCUAUGGACGAGGAUAACCUCGGGAAACUGAGAAUAAUACUCGAUAGAACACUAUGCCUGGAAUGGUUUGUGUUUGAAAUGAUUUAUCGCCGUAGGAUGGGACUGCGGCCUAUCAGUUUGUUGGUGAGGUAAUGGCCCACCAAGACUAUUACAGGUACGGGCUCUGAGAGGAGUGGCCCGGAGAUGGGUACUGAGACACGGACCCAGGCCCUAUGGGGCGCAGCAGGCGAGAAAACUUUGCAAUGUGCGAAAGCACGACAAGGUUAAUCCGAGUGGUUUCUGCUAAAGAAACCUUUUGUUAGUCCUAGAAACACUGAUGAAUAAGGGGUGGGCAAGUUCUGGUGUCAGCCGCCGCGGUAAAACCAGCACCUCAAGUGGUCAGGAUGAUUAUUGGGCCUAAAGCAUCCGUAGCCGGCUAUGUAAGUUUUCGGUUAAAUCUGUGCGCUUAACGUACAGGCUGCCGGGAAUACUGCAUGGCUAGGAAGUGGGAGAGGUAGACGGUACUCGGUAGGAAGGGGUAAAAUCCUUUGAUCUAUUGAUGACCACCUGUGGCGAAGGCGGUCUACCAGAACACGUUCGACGGUGAGGGAUGAAAGCUGGGGGAGCAAACCGGAUUAGAUACCCGGGUAGUCCCAGCUGUAAACUAUGCAAACUCAAUGAUGCAUUGGCUUGUGGCCAAUGCAGUGUUGCAGGGAAGCCGUUAAGUUUGCCGCCUGGGAAGUACGUACGCAAGUAUGAAACUUAAAGGAAUUGGCGGGGGAGCACCACAAGGGGUGAAGCGUGCGGUUCAAUUGGAGUCAACGCCGGA
rnacentral:rRNA from 1 species